rnacentral:rRNA from 1 species
AGAGUUUGAUCCUGGCUCAGAUUGAACGCUGGCGGCAGGCCUAACACAUGCAAGUCGAGCGGCAGCGGGUCCUUCGGGAUGCCGGCGAGCGGCGGACGGGUGAGUAAUGCCUAGGAAUCUGCCUGGUAGUGGGGGAUAACUCGGGGAAACUCGAGCUAAUACCGCAUACGUCCUACGGGAGAAAGUGGGGGAUCUUCGGACCUCACGCUAUCAGAUGAGCCUAGGUCGGAUUAGCUAGUUGGUGAGGUAAAGGCUCACCAAGGCGACGAUCCGUAACUGGUCUGAGAGGAUGAUCAGUCACACUGGAACUGAGACACGGUCCAGACUCCUACGGGAGGCAGCAGUGGGGAAUAUUGGACAAUGGGCGAAAGCCUGAUCCAGCCAUGCCGCGUGUGUGAAGAAGGUCUUCGGAUUGUAAAGCACUUUAAGUUGGGAGGAAGGGCAGUAAGUUAAUACCUUGCUGUUUUGACGUUACCAACAGAAUAAGCACCGGCUAACUUCGUGCCAGCAGCCGCGGUAAUACGAAGGGUGCAAGCGUUAAUCGGAAUUACUGGGCGUAAAGCGCGCGUAGGUGGUUCAGCAAGUUGGAGGUGAAAUCCCCGGGCUCAACCUGGGAACUGCCUCCAAAACUACUGGGCUAGAGUAUGGUAGAGGGUGGUGGAAUUUCCUGUGUAGCGGUGAAAUGCGUAGAUAUAGGAAGGAACACCAGUGGCGAAGGCGACCACCUGGACUAAUACUGACACUGAGGUGCGAAAGCGUGGGGAGCAAACAGGAUUAGAUACCCUGGUAGUCCACGCCGUAAACGAUGUCGACUAGCCGUUGGGAUCCUUGAGAUCUUAGUGGCGCAGCUAACGCGAUAAGUCGACCGCCUGGGGAGUACGGCCGCAAGGUUAAA